rnacentral:tRNA from 1 species
CGGAGCGUGGCGCAGUCCGGCAGCGCACCGGCAUGGGGUGCCGGGGGUCGGGAGUUCAAAUCUCCCCGCUCCGA